rnacentral:lncRNA from 1 species
GGCCGUUUCACUUCGUUUCGCAAAGAAAAUAACAAUCGUUCAUCCCCGAAAACCCUAAUCGCAUCAGCAAUCAUCAAGCAUGGGCAUAAUCCUGUGUAAAUCUUUGAUUCUUGCUUCCAAUUUAUGAUUCUCGGAGAUAUUGCCAGUUAUCUACAGAUCAUUCAAGUCUAAUGCUCUGCAUGGACACAACAGUUGUUGGUAAGACAGAGGUUGGAUGAACCCUUUUUGGAGAUAUAGGUUACGGCCCUAUUCUAUUCUUCAUAGUGUUUGUGUGCACGAUAAUCUUCGUCAAUUCUGUUCUUUUUGGUGGGCCUGCCAUGCACAGAGUUACAUUUUCUAAGCAGGACCAGGAGCGGUCAACUUUGUAUUAGACCAUGUUGAAAUUGAUGUUUUUGUCCAGGAUAAAAACAUUAAAGAAGUAAAAGCACCUUAGUACCAAAAUUUCUAUCAUAAAAAAGUUGUUAAGUAAUAUUGCUUUGCUUUUGCAGCUACUGAAUCCAGAGUGUAUACAUACCCAACGAUUAAAUUGUGAGUGAAUUCAGUCAUCUUAACUAUACUGGAGCUUGGAUUGUAUUUGUGAGCUUAGGUAUAUAUGAUUCAAGGUUUAAUCUUAGGUGUAAAGUGUAAGAUUUGUAAAUCAGCAACAUGAACUUCCUUUUUAUCUAUGAAUGAGUCGAUUUCAGUUGUAUUUUCUCUCAAAUUUACCAAACGGGUUAAAUAAGUUAUUUAAUAUGUCAAAUAGGUCUUUGAUGUUAUGCUUCAAUGGUUAGCAACAAGGUGUUUGUCGACAAUGGUUAACAAGUGGUCCCAAAAAAGAGUCUAGCUUGUGUUUUUGUUUAUACUGUUGGAUAAGACUUAGAGAUUUGGGUGACAUUUGAAUAU